AGAGUUUGAUCCUGGCUCAGGAUGAACGCUAGCGGCAGGCCUAACACAUGCAAGUCGAGUGGUAAUCCCGCUUUCGGGCGGGAACGACCGGCGCACGGGUGAGUAACGCGUAUGCAACCUACCUUUAACUGGGGGAUAGCCCGAAGAAAUUCGGAUUAAUACCCCAUAUAACUAUAGAUAAGCAUUUAUUUAUAUUAAAAACUCCGGUGGUUAAAGAUGGGCAUGCGUAACAUUAGUUAGUUGGUGAGGUAACGGCUCACCAAGACUACGAUGUUUAGGGGGCCUGAGAGGGUGGUCCCCCACACUGGUACUGAGACACGGACCAGACUCCUACGGGAGGCAGCAGUGAGGAAUAUUGCGCAAUGGAGGCAACUCUGACGCAGCCAUGCCGCGUGCAGGAUGACGGCCCUACGGGUUGUAAACUGCUUUUAUACAGGAAGAACUUUCCGCACGUGUGCGGGAUUGACGGUACUGUACGAAUAAGCACCGGCUAACUCCGUGCCAGCAGCCGCGGUAAUACGGAGGGUGCAAGCGUUAUCCGGAUUUAUUGGGUUUAAAGGGUGCGUAGGCGGGAUAAUAAGUCAGUGGUGAAAUACUGCAGCUCAACUGUAGAACUGCCAUUGAUACUGUUAUUCUUGAGUUCGAUUGAGGUAGGCGGAAUGUGUAAUGUAGCGGUGAAAUGCUUAGAUAUUACACAGAACACCGAUUGCGUAGGCAGCUUACUAAGUCGACACUGACGCUGAGGCACGAAAGCGUGGGGAGCGAACAGGAUUAGAUACCCUGGUAGUCCACGCUGUAAACUAUGAUCACUAGCUGUUGGCGAUACAUCGAUCAGCGGCAAAGCGAAAGCAUUAAGUCAUCCACCUGAGGAGUACGGUCGCAAGAUUAAAACUCAAAUUGACGGGGGCCCGCACAAGCGGUGGAACAUGUGGUUUAAUUCGAUGAUACGCGAGGAACCUUACCUGGGCUUAAAUGCAGAUUGACGUUUCGGGAAACCGGAAUUCUCUUCGGAGCGAUUUGCAAGGUGCUGCAUGGUUGUCGUCAGCUCGUGCCGUGAGGUGUCGGGUUAAGUCCCAUAACGAGCGCAACCCCUAUCGUUAGUUGCCAGCGGAUAAUGCCGGGGACUCUAACGAAACUGCCGGUGUAAACCGAGAGGAAGGUGGGGAUGACGUCAAAUCAGCACGGCCCUUAUGUCCAGGGCUACACACGUGUUACAAUGGUCGGUACAUAGGGCAGCUACCUGGUGACAGGAUGCUAAUCUCGAAAGCCGGUCUUAGUUCGGAUCGAAGUCUGCAACUCGACUUCGUGAAGCUGGAAUCGCUAGUAAUCGCGUAUCAGCAACGACGCGGUGAAUACGUUCCCGGGCCUUGUACACACCGCCCGUCAAGCCAUGGAAGCUGGGGGUACCUGAAGUCUGUAACCGCAAGGAGCGGCCUAGGGUAAAACUAGUGACUGGGGCUAAGUCGUAACAAGGUA
rnacentral:rRNA from 1 species